GACGAACGCUGGCGGCGUGCUUAACACAUGCAAGUCGAACGAUGAAGCCGGAGCUUGCUCUGGUGAAUUAGUGGCGAACGGGUGAGUAACACGUGAGUAACCUGCCCUUGACUCUGGGAUAACUGCGGGAAACUGUAGCUAAUACCGGAUACGACCCUCGGAGGCAUCUCCUGGGGGUGGAAAGAAUUUCGGUCAAGGAUGGACUCGCGGCCUAUCAGCUAGUUGGUGAGGUAAAGGCUCACCAAGGCGACGACGGGUAGCCGGCCUGAGAGGGUGACCGGCCACACUGGGACUGGGACACGGCCCAGACUACUACGGGAGGCAGCAGUGGGGAAUAUUGCACAAUGGGCGCAAGCCUGAUGCAGCAACGCCGCGUGAGGGAUGACGGCCUUCGGGUUGUAAACCUCUUUUAGUAGGGAAGAAGCAAAAGUGACGGUACCUGCAGAAAAAGCACCGGCUAACUACGUGCCAGCCGCCGCGGUAA
rnacentral:rRNA from 1 species